rnacentral:rRNA from 1 species
GACGAACGCUGGCGGCGUGCUUAACACAUGCAAGUCGAACGGAAAGGCCCUGCUUGCAGGGUACUCGAGUGGCGAACGGGUGAGUAACACGUGGGUGAUCUGCCCUGCACUUCGGGAUAAGCCUGGGAAACUGGGUCUAAUACCGGAUAGGAGCCAUUUUUAGUGUGAUGGUUGGAAAGUUUUUUCGGUGUAGGAUGAGCUCGCGGCCUAUCAGCUUGUUGGUGGGGUAAUGGCCUACCAAGGCGGCGACGGGUAGCCGGCCUGAGAGGGUGGACGGCCACAUUGGGACUGAGAUACGGCCCAGACUCCUACGGGAGGCAGCAGUGGGGAAUAUUGCACAAUGGGCGCAAGCCUGAUGCAGCGACGCCGCGUGGGGGAUGACGGCCUUCGGGUUGUAAACGCCUUUCGCUAGGGACGAAGCUUUUUGUGACGAUACCUAGAUAAGAAGCACCGGCUAACUACGUG